GCCCUCGUAGAUCAGUGGUAGAUCUCCGUCAUCCAUUGAAUAUGUCAUGAUUGUCUCUGCAGGCCCCGCGGGUUCGACUCCCGUCAAGGGCA